GGAAUCGCUAGUAAUCGCGGAUCAGCACGCCGCGGUGAAUACGUUCCCGGGCCUUGUACACACCGCCCGUCACACCAUGAGAGUCUGUAACACCCAAAGCCGGUGGGAUAACCUUUAUAGGAGUCAGCCGUCUAAGGUAGGACAGAUGAUUAGGGUGAAGUCGUAACAAGGUACC
rnacentral:rRNA from 1 species